rnacentral:rRNA from 1 species
GCCGUCUAAGUUUUCGGUUAAAUCUAUGCGCUUAACGUAUAGGCCGCCGAAAAUACUGGACAGCUAGGGAGUGGGAGAGGUACACGGUACUCAAUAGGAAGGGGUAAAAUCCUUUGAUCUAUUGAUGACCACCUGUGGCGAAGGCGGUGUACCAGAACACGUUCGACGGUGAGGGAUGAAAGCUGGGGGAGCAAACCGGAUUAGAUACCCGGGUAGUCCCAGCUGUAAACGAUGCAGACUCGGUGAUGCAUUGGCUUGUGGCCAAUGCAGUGCCGCAGGGAAGCCGUUAAGUCUGCCGCCUGGGAAGUACGUACGCAAGUAUGAAACUUAAAGGAAUUGGCGGGGGAGCACCACAAGGGGUGAAGCCUGCGGUUCAAUUGGAGUCAACGCCAGAAACCUUACCCGGGGCGACAGCAGAAUGAAGGUCAAGCUGAAGACUUUACCAGACAAGCUGAGAGGUGGUGCAUGGCCGUCGCCAGCUCGUGCCGUGAGAUGUCCUGUUAAGUCAGGUAACGAGCGAGACCCCUGCGUCUAGUUGCUACCAUUACUCUCUGGAGUAGUGGAGCGAAUUAGACGGACCGCCACAGUUAAUGUGGAGGAAGGAAGGGGCCACGGCAGGUCAGUAUGCCCCGAAACCCUGGGGCCACACGCGGGCUGCAAUGGUAUUGACAAUGUGUUCCGAAUCCGAAAGGAGGAGGCAAUCAUCAAACGAUACUCAGUUAU